UCUCUACAGGCUUUUUGUUUUUUUUCCUCUGACUCACAAAAAAAAACCCUCCCCCCCUGCUACACCUGCAGUCAGGUGCAGCAGAGACCGGUUCCAACCGGAAGCCUCCUUUGAGAGCGCAGUGAGAUUGUACACAUAUGUGGGCAGCGAUUUGCCCCUUCCUUUGGAGAAGGAACAGGUUUAACCAGUCAUGAGAACUUGGGUAUUCCCGCAACAAUCUAUCUUUUUUCUUUUAUUCUUUGUGGGUAUGGUUUGGCUUUCAAAAGUGCAACACCACUUCACUUUUAGUAUCAAGAUGAAUUAAGAAAUUCUCUUUAAGAAAUCACUUUAUUAGGAACGCAUCACCUGAAAAAAUUUAUAUUAAAAUCUUACAGGAUAGCCUAUACAAAAUGGCUUCCUGGUGUUGUUACCUCACCUUGCAGUUUUUUUUGUUUUUUUUUCACUUUGCUUGCUCCCUGUUAAAAUUCAUGGUUCAUCACUAACAGCAAUACUACAGCAAGAUAUUAAAUAGGCUAUAUCAAACUUUUGUUUGCAUAACAUAAAAACUCACUGAUAAGAGUCUGUUUUACACAAGCUAAAUCAACUGACUGAUAUGGUAAUUGGUUAAAUGACAUUAGUGUGUGUAGACACCGAAGUGAGCCAAACGACUGCUUUCCAUUAAUCUCAGGUGUUGAGAGUGAAGAGGGGGAUGAAAUAAGGUGUUUGGGGUACAGCUCAGGGACUUUAAGUCCAUGCGAACAGAAAUAAGAAUCAGCAAAUGACCUUUCUCAGACAGAAUAACAGCAAAACCAAAGUUGUGAACCUAUCACACCUACAACCACUCAGGUCGUUGCCUUCUACAGCCCCAGCAGCUGCUAUUGGCCAGCAAAUGCAUGAUGUCAAAGAGGAGAUCACUUCUCUUCUGUAGGACAAACGGGCACCUUUUGGAAGCUGGUUGACCAAUGUUUUACUCAAACACACACAUAGGUAACAACUUACGGAGUGUGGUGUGUGUAGACUAAUAAGAUGGCUUUGGAAUUACAAAGAGAUCCUGGAUGUCACAGCACUUCCUCUUGGUUAUGUGUCAAUUGUGAAAGUUGGGUCAUCAGUCAACAUUUCCAGGCAGAUUAAAAUGCCCAGACUUGACCGAACCAUUAAAAUGAUCAACUGUGGUGUGCAAGCCAGUGCGUUUACACAUGUGUGCCCAGACAGCCACACACACAUAAAUAAAUAAUGGAAGCAGAUGUUCAUUUCACAUCGUUCUGUCUCUUUCACACUCUAAUACUCACGUCUAAAUGCACACAAACACUGUGUCAUUGAUCGGCUCGCCACAAUUUAAAUUUGCAUAUUAAAAUCUCUCAUCUGAGCUGCUCGAACGAGCCGAACGUUCGCAGGAAAUGGAGUAAAUAAUUCAAGCAAUCAUGGCUGGACUCCAUGUAAUCCCCUGUAAGAAUUCCAUCAAAGAGCUAUCAAACAAUUGCCCCGAAUCUCCACUCGUUUUCCAAUGAUACGGAUGCUGCUUCAAGUCCACUGGCUAUUAAACAUGAAUAAAGUCGUCACAAGAGAAUUUAGUUCUUUUUUUUUUUUUUUUUUUUGAUCUUACAGCCUGCAGGUGUAUCCACAAUUAAACCAAAAACAGAUGUGUUUGGGUUGUGGAUUCAAUCUAAACUCAUUAUCAUCAUCAUCGGGUUGUUUCUGAGAAUAUCAGACAGUGGAAGGAAGUGGAACUACAGAGUUAUGUUUAAUUUAAAAAGCCACCCAAUCACAAAUUCUGCACAACGCCAUUGGCUUCCCUGGCAGCGGCCCAGCAGAAAUCAAUCUACACCUGCUGACCAAUAGAACUGGAUCCUCCUUGAAUGGU